GGGUUGUGAGGUUAAGCGACUAAGCGUACACGGUGGAUGCCCUGGCAGUCAGAGGCGAUGAAGGACGUGCUAAUCUGCGAAAAGCGCCGGCGAGGUGAUAUGAACCCUUGACCCGGCGAUGUCCGAAUGGGGAAACCCAGUGUGAUUCGUCACACUAUCGUUAACUGAAUACAUAGGUUAACGAGGCGAACCGGGGGAACUGAAACAUCUAAGUACCCCGAGGAAAAGAAAUCAACCGAGAUUCCCCCAGUAGCGGCGAGCGAACGGGGAGCAGCCCAGAGUCUGAAUCAGCUUGUGUGUUAGUGGAAGCGUCUGGAAAGUCGCACGGUACAGGGUGAUAGUCCCGUACACGAAAAUGCACAGGCUGUGAACUCGAAGAGUAGGGCGGGACACGUGGUAUCCUGUCUGAAUAUGGGGGGACCAUCCUCCAAGGCUAAAUACUCCUGACUGACCGAUAGUGAACCAGUACCGUGAGGGAAAGGCGAAAAGAACCCCGGCGAGGGGAGUGAAAAAGAACCUGAAACCGUGUACGUACAAGCAGUGGGAGCACCUUCGGGUGUGACUGCGUACCUUUUGUAUAAUGGGUCAGCGACUUAUAUUCUGUAGCAAGGUUAACCGUAUAGGGGAGCCGAAGGGAAACCGAGUCUUAACUGGGCGUUAAGUUGCAGGGUAUAGACCCGAAACCCGGUGAUCUAGCCAUGGGCAGGUUGAAGGUUGGGUAACACUAACUGGAGGACCGAACCGACUAAUGUUGAAAAAUUAGCGGAUGACCUGUGGCUGGGGGUGAAAGGCCAAUCAAACCGGGAGAUAGCUGGUUCUCCCCGAAAGCUAUUUAGGUAGCGCCUCGUGAACUCAUCUUCGGGGGUAGAGCACUGUUUCGGCUAGGGGGCCAUCCCGGCUUACCAACCCGAUGCAAACUACGAAUACCGAAGAAUGUUAUCACGGGAGACACACGGCGGGUGCUAACGUCCGUCGUGAAGAGGGAAACAACCCAGACCGCCAGCUAAGGUCCCAAAGUCAUGGUUAAGUGGGAAACGAUGUGGGAAGGCCCAGACAGCCAGGAUGUUGGCUUAGAAGCAGCCAUCAUUUAAAGAAAGCGUAAUAGCUCACUGGUCGAGUCGGCCUGCGCGGAAGAUGUAACGGGGCUAAACCAUGCACCGAAGCUGCGGCAGCGACACUAUGUGUUGUUGGGUAGGGGAGCGUUCUGUAAGCCGUUGAAGGUGGCCUGUGAGGGUUGCUGGAGGUAUCAGAAGUGCGAAUGCUGACAUAAGUAACGAUAAAGCGGGUGAAAAGCCCGCUCGCCGGAAGACCAAGGGUUCCUGUCCAACGUUAAUCGGGGCAGGGUGAGUCGACCCCUAAGGCGAGGCCGAAAGGCGUAGUCGAUGGGAAACAGGUUAAUAUUCCUGUACUUGGUGUUACUGCGAAGGGGGGACGGAGAAGGCUAUGUUAGCCGGGCGACGGUUGUCCCGGUUUAAGCAUGUAGGCGGAGGUUCCAGGUAAAUCCGGUACCUUUUAACGCUGAGGUGUGAUGACGAGGCACUACGGUGCUGAAGUAACAAAUGCCCUGCUUCCAGGAAAAGCCUCUAAGCAUCAGGUAACAUCAAAUCGUACCCCAAACCGACACAGGUGGUCAGGUAGAGAAUACCAAGGCGCUUGAGAGAACUCGGGUGAAGGAACUAGGCAAAAUGGUGCCGUAACUUCGGGAGAAGGCACGCUGAUAUGUAGGUGAAGCCCCUGCGGGUGGAGCUGAAAUCAGUCGAAGAUACCAGCUGGCUGCAACUGUUUAUUAAAAACACAGCACUGUGCAAACACGAAAGUGGACGUAUACGGUGUGACGCCUGCCCGGUGCCGGAAGGUUAAUUGAUGGGGUUAGCGGCAACGCGAAGCUCUUGAUCGAAGCCCCGGUAAACGGCGGCCGUAACUAUAACGGUCCUAAGGUAGCGAAAUUCCUUGUCGGGUAAGUUCCGACCUGCACGAAUGGCGUAAUGAUGGCCAGGCUGUCUCCACCCGAGACUCAGUGAAAUUGAACUCGCUGUGAAGAUGCAGUGUACCCGCGGCAAGACGGAAAGACCCCGUGAACCUUUACUAUAGCUUGACACUGAACACUGGUCCUUGAUGUGUAGGAUAGGUGGGAGGCUUUGAAGCGUGGACGCCAGUCUGCGUGGAGCCAUCCUUGAAAUACCACCCUUUAAUGGCUGGUGUUCUAACGUAGACCCGUAAUCCGGGUUGCGGACAGUGUCUGGUGGGUAGUUUGACUGGGGCGGUCUCCUCCCAAAGAGUAACGGAGGAGCACGAAGGUUAGCUAAUCCUGGUCGGACAUCAGGAGGUUAGUGCAAUGGCAUAAGCUAGCUUGACUGCGAGAGUGACGGCUCGAGCAGGUGCGAAAGCAGGUCAUAGUGAUCCGGUGGUUCUGAAUGGAAGGGCCAUCGCUCAACGGAUAAAAGGUACUCCGGGGAUAACAGGCUGAUACCGCCCAAGAGUUCAUAUCGACGGCGGUGUUUGGCACCUCGAUGUCGGCUCAUCACAUCCUGGGGCUGAAGUAGGUCCCAAGGGUAUGGCUGUUCGCCAUUUAAAGUGGUACGCGAGCUGGGUUUAGAACGUCGUGAGACAGUUCGGUCCCUAUCUGCCGUGGGCGCUGGAGAAUUGAGGGGGGCUGCUCCUAGUACGAGAGGACCGGAGUGGACGCAUCACUGGUGUUCGGGUUGUCAUGCCAAUGGCACUGCCCGGUAGCUAAAUGCGGAAGAGAUAAGUGCUGAAAGCAUCUAAGCACGAAACUUGCCCCGAGAUGAGUUCUCCCUGAGACUUAAAGUCUCCUGAAGGAACGUUGAAGACGACGACGUUGAUAGGUCGGGUGUGUAAGCGCAGCGAUG
rnacentral:rRNA from 1 species